GUGAGGAUGGUAAGGUGCCAUAGCUAGCAAUUGUGCGCUCCUGUACACUAGCAUCGACGCUGUGGGAUUUAAGGCUUGCUUGCUUGGGACUGGUAUUCAGUGGUCGUUCUUGCUUGGGACUGGUAUUCAGUGGUCGUUCACCCAAAAGAAGUUAAGCUUGUUUUAUGGCCUGUAACAUUUGCAACAUAUGGGCUGCAUCUAGUAACCUAAACUUGUUUCAAAAACAGAAGUAGGGACGGCAAUUAUAGCUGACAUAUAAGAUACCUGAUCCAAAUAGUGUAGGUUUUACUCACCCGAUUAAACUCCGUAUGGAUAUAGAUUCUAGAAAAAAUAUUUGAAAUAAAUUUGGAUUAGGUGCGAAUAAAGAUAUGUGCUGCUCCCAAUAUGAACUAAUAUAACGGAUUAUAAUUAUUUUAAGAUAUUGGAAUGAUGAGUUCCCAAUCAGUCCUAUUUAUCCGAUCCGAACCAUCUACUUUAUUCACUCGAUGUGACGUGAGUACAGGAUGGAUAUAGGUAAGAGGGUUUUUAAUUGCCACGCAGAUAUGAAUAUUGGUCAUUGCCAUAGGGCCAAUAACAAGGCUUAAUACGUUAUCCUCCAACAUGAGAAGCAGGCCAAAGAAUAAGAAGUCGCCAAUUAAAUCGCACCAGUCAGCUAAUUCAUUUAUGGAGUAAAGUUAAUGGAAAGUUCAUCUCCUCCUACGUGGAAUGAGGAAAUAUUUACAAGGAUGAAAUAUUUGCAUCUCGACCAACAAAAGAUUUCCUCAGUUUUUACUGGAGAUGAGAAAUCCAAAAAGAUUUUCUCCCAAACCCUUGGAAAACAUAAUACAUCACAAAAGAACUAUCCAUUAAGCUUUGAACUGUCAACAAUGAAUGAACAAACAAAUAUGCAGUACGAACUGAAGAUGGGCGAAUAACUUGAGAAUCUACUGCCGAACAAAAUAGAAGAGAUUGCAUAAACAGAAACGCAGGGCCCCAUAAAAUUAUAACAAAUAAAAACCAGAUGCCAAGCUCUGACCGGCAGCGUGAAAAUUCAGCUCCUUCACGUUUUGCCUAUAUAUAUAUAUAUAUAUAACUCUUACUAUUAUAUAUUAUUAUAAACAUUUANNNNNNNNNNNNNNNNNNNNUAUAUAUAUAUAUAUAUAACUCUUUACAUUUAUAUAUUAUUUAUAAACAUUUAUUGGAGGUGGAAUUAUUUGAAAUUCCUCUUCUUAUGAUACUGUCGACUUCUUCCAUCUCACCAGGGAAUUCAGAAAU
rnacentral:lncRNA from 1 species